rnacentral:misc_RNA from 1 species
GAAAUGUGAUAAGUAAUGUGAAUUGCAGAAUUCAGUGAAUCAUCGAAUCUUUGAACGCACCUUGCGCUCUCUGGUAUUCCGGAGAGCAUGCCUGUUUGAGUGUCAUGAACUCUUCAACCCACCGGUUCCUAGUGAACUGAGAUGGUGUUUGGUUUUUGAGCGUCUGCUAAUCCUUCGGGAUCAGCUCGUUCGUAAUACAUUAGCAACUCGAUUUCGAACUUUCGGAUUGACUCAGCGUAAUAGACUAUUCGCUGAGGACACUUUUACUAGUGGCCGAAUAUUUGAUAACAGUAGUCGCUUCCAAUCCUACUAGUCAUUUUUAGAUUAGACCUCAAAUCAGGCAGGAUUACCCGCUGAACUUAA